rnacentral:rRNA from 1 species
UACGGAGGGGGCUAGCGUUAUUCGGAAUCACUGGGCGUAAAGGGCGCGUAGGCGGCCAUUCAAGUCGGAGGUGAAAGCCCAGGGCUCAACCCUGGAAUUGCCUUCGAUACUGUUUGGCUAGAGACCGGAAGAGGUAAGUGGAACUGCGAGUGUAGAGGUGAAAUUCGUAGAUAUUCGGAAGAACACCAGUGGCGAAGGCGGCUCACUGGUCCGGUACUGACGCUGAUGUGCGAAAGCGUGGGGAGCAAACAGG